rnacentral:rRNA from 1 species
AAUGAACGCUGGCGGUAUGCUUAACACAUGCAAGUCGAACGAACAAGGCUGGAGCUUGCUUCAGCUGCGUUAGUGGCAAACGGGUGAGUAACACGUGGGAAUCUACCCAUCAGUACGGAAUAACGUUUGGAAACAAAUGCUAAUACCGUAUAUUCUCUACGGAGGACAGAUUUAUCGCUGAUGGAUGAGCCCGCGCAAGAUUAGGUAGUUGGUAGGGUAAUGGCCUACCAAGCCGACGAUCUUUAGCUGGUCUGAGAGGAUGAU